GGAAAUCCCCGAUGAUGAAGAGAGGCGCGGUGGGCCGUGGGCGGCUCCUAAGGUCCGAGCGUCCACUCCUCCGGCGCCGGCCUCGGUUGGUGCUUCCCGGGGCUCGGACAUCAACCCGCCGGGCCGCGCCCGGUGCUGCAGUCCUUCGCCUUCGGGCUCAUGGUCCGCCUCGGCUGCCUUCAGUUUUCUCCUCGCCAUAUUCGACCGCACCUGGGUCUCUUGGGACCCUAAUCGCUCUCAAUUGAUCGCUGAAUGGAGUACAGGAGAAAUAAACAUUGCCUAUAACCGAGGAUCAUUCAUUCGGUCCAUGAAAUCUUACCUUUUGACAUCCCAAGUAUCAGCUUAUGGAUGGAAUUGCUCUAUAUGUUACACCAGAUACUAUCAUGAAGGAAAAAUCAGAUUGAUCCAGCAAUUGUAUUGGCGAACCAUGAGAGGCCUCCAUUUUACUGUUUUCUCGAAGCUCCAUGGUUCAACUUCACCAGAGACAGGGAUUAGAUUACCAGUUACAACAUAUGUAUCCCUCAAAAUUACAGGCAUGUAAACUCGUUGAGCUAUCGGCAAUUCUCCAGGCUUCUUCGACACAUUAUAUCCAGUUCUAUUUCCAGAAAAUUUCAUCCUACAAAUGAGAUGGCAGACUGUGGUUGACAGACCUCAGAUUAUUUUAAGUUCAUGCGACUUCAUGAUGGAGCCCGGAAACAGUUUGUAAAGGCCAUCAUUUUCCACUAUUUCAGAGAUACUUGUUAUGAUUCAACUCCCCACGCAUCUCUUCCUUCUUGCAAUCGGCAUCAAUAACCAUGGCGAACUCUUAACAGAGAUUUGGAGGAAGAAGAUGGCGAGAACUUCAGACCUAAGCU